CUGGCAAUACCUCAUGAUCGCCGUGUAUUUCGAUAUAUAUAUAUAUAUAUAUAUAUGUGUGUGUGUGUAAUUUUAUUCUAGCUGUAUUUUGAUAUUAAUAUAUAUAUAUAUAUAUAUAUAUAUAUCGAAAUACACGGUGAUCAUGAGGUAUUGCCAG